rnacentral:ncRNA from 17 species
CUGUCCGAGGGGCGCUGCAGCAGGUUCAACCUGUCAGGCUCGGAUGGGGCGUUGACCGGCUCAGGCCGGACACUAAACGCACAACGGCGCCCAUUCGCA